AUGUCGUCGGUGUUCAGCGGCGAUGAGACCGCCCCCUUCUUCGGCUUUCUCGGCGCCGCCGCGGCGCUCGUCUUCUCAUGUAUGGGAGCGGCCUACGGGACGGCCAAGAGCGGCGUCGGCGUGGCGUCCAUGGGAGUCAUGCGCCCGGAGCUCGUCAUGAAGUCCAUCGUGCCCGUUGUCAUGGCUGGAGUGCUCGGUAUCUACGGGCUUAUUAUCGCCGUCAUCAUCAGUACCGGGAUCAACCCCAAGGCCAAGCCCUACUACCUCUUCGACGGCUACGCCCACCUCUCGUCCGGCCUCGCCUGUGGCCUUGCAGGCCUUGCUGCUGGCAUGGCCAUCGGCAUUGUUGGUGAUGCUGGAGUCAGGGCAAAUGCUCAACAGCCCAAGCUGUUUGUCGGCAUGAUCCUCAUCCUCAUCUUCGCAGAGGCGCUCGCUCUCUACGGUCUCAUUGUCGGCAUCAUCCUGUCAUCCCGAGCUGGCCAGUCUCGUGCUGAUUAG
rnacentral:rRNA from 1 species